UUUAAUAUCACUGUUGAUCUGUUCUUAUUCGUUACCGUCGAGUCAGUACCACAUUUUAAUCAAUUUUAUGUUGACGGCCAUGCAACGCAAUCUAAUGAUUAUUUUCCUAUCAAGGAUUAUGCCAUACUUAGCUUCAUUUCAUCAAAAUGCUCAGGUAAAUUCGUUUGGAAGUUCAUCGCAAGAGUUAUUGACAUAUCUCCUAUUUACAUUAAUAAAUAUUAUGGUAUAGUUUGUUCGAGAUAUGAUCUUCUUGCAAUAUCUAAGUGCCAUCCUCUUGAGUUCAGUCGCAAAGGUGCGGUUUGAAAUAGAUACUAAAUAUAUCUGAUAUUAAAUAUGUCCUGUUAAUGUUUGAAAAUCCCUUUGGUGCCAGGUCCUGGGGUCUUCAUCCCACUGACCCUCUUUAUCCAAUGUGCAUCGAAUGAUAUACUACAUCGCAUGUGCUAUCGUUGCUUGGUGUCCUUUCGGAAGGACGUCCGAAUAGAAUAGUCUCACAGCUAUAUAAAUUUACAGUGAUGCAUGGUAUGUUGUAUGUCGUGUCGUGUAUCAUUUUGUUUGUCGUGUCCAAUGUCAUCCUAUAUGUCAUUACAUAUGUCAUGCCUUGUGCUGUGUCGUAUGUCGUGUCGUGUUGUGUUGUGUAUCAUGUGGUAUGUCUUUUCGCAUGUUAUGUCGUGUUAUGUUUCGUGUGGUAUCAUUUUACCUCUAACGUUAUCUGGGUCUUGCCAACUCUAAAUAAGGUGGCUUCGUGCUGUUAUUUCGUGCCAAAUUCGUAAGCCGGGCGAUCAAAUAGCUCUCAAACAAGAUUAGACAGAACAUCUUGCUCUCAAUAGGCGAAACUGCAAAAUUGCAACGUGUGAAAAGCUGCUUUUGGUCAAUGUAAGGAAAAGAAGAUUGAUGAGAUUGGUUAAGCCAACACUCGAAGCAGUGAACAAGAAUACCCUCUGAUAAUUUGUUAAAUAUAAUUCUUGGCAUAUGUGAAAAUAGAAUGUUGCAUUGGUAACCAAUCGGGGGACUGAUGCUGAUUGAAUUCGUUUUACCUUAAAGGGGAACUGAAGUGAAAAAUGAAAAUCAUCUAAUUAGUAGUUUUCAUCGUGCUGAUUUCGAAUAUCGACACGAAAUUAGUGUUUUUCUUUUCGUUUUCCUGCAUUUAACGCGCAAAGUGUGAAAUUUCUCCAUUUCCGUGGCGGAGAGGUCUGGAGACAAGUUUCAGGCGCUGACGUAAAGUCGUGGACACGUGCCCCGAACCUAACGAAAACAACAGUGUAGUAGAGUGAAUCGGAGGGAGGGAAUUUGGUUAGUAGGUAAAAUUUCAGAUCGCAAUUUUCACGACAGCUCUUCAGGAAUGACAACAGACUUAAGAUCGAGCGACGAUGAAGUGUUUGGAGCAUGUGGUGGUGAAGUACUUGCCCUACCAAGGGCGAACGGGACCUGCGAAAGUGGCGAUGAAGAUUAGCCUAGGCCCGAUGAGAUCCCAGAGGAUGAGGAUGAAUUAUCUCCCGCGACGUGCUCGUUUUGUUGGUAGAAAUGAGGAAGUAAAUAAAUGGUAUCUACAAACAGUGGCCGAUCAAUGUAUGGUUUGCUGGUUUUUGGGUAUUUGUGCUGGAAUAACUGGACAACUUUAAGUAUGCAUUUAUCACAAAUGUAAAGAAAAGAACUUUAGUCAAAGAAGACAAGAGUUUCAAAAUUCUGCAGAGAGACAAUGAAAAUGCAAAAAUCAGCUACACAUACAGUGGAGAACAGGGUUAUAUACACGGGGUUAUUCAAAAGGACCAGACUUUUAGUUCAUAAUAGCAAGAAGAGAAAUUUGUUGAAACUAGUGGGACAAUGGCCAAAUCUUGUCAGCCCUAGGCCAAAUCACUAGAUUAGUCACAUCAAGGGGGGGAGGGAUUGAGCAAGGCUUGAUAUUUUUAAGAUUCCUAAGGUGUACUUUUCAACAUAGUUCACUCACAUCAAAAUGUGUAGAAUAGUUUGGAUUUGAUCAAGAUUUUCUCUUACAAUAAUGGUCCUGUACCACCUUCUUGGUAACAUUUUUUAUAAAUAAUCAGAGGAAAAUGUUUUACCUUCAGGGUACAAUGUUCUGUUAAUGUAUUCUGUCACUGCCUGUUGUUUAGAUACACUGUUUUUAAAUUUUGAGAAUGAAGUUUUUUUGUGCCCAA